UCGAUUAUGACAUUUGAAUAAAUUACGUUUGGCGUGUCGUAAUCGGAUCAGAAAUAGACUUUCGUGCUAGCUAAAUUAGCCUCGAGUGGAAAACUGAUCAACAACAUCUGGAAUAAAAUACGCAGCACACUGCGAAUGGACGUUAGACAUGUUUUUGCCAUACUGCACCUUUAAAUGUACCUGGCUAGCUAGCACUACUCGCUAAAUAGUCUGUAAAAGGGAUAACACGCGGUACGGUACGACAGCAUGCGGUUUCAGGCGAUCACAUGUCCUUCCCCACAGAGUCACUCAGCACGGUCACAUGACUCAGCGAAGGAAGCUGGAUCUUACGGGACGUGUAUUUCAAAACAGCAGAUUCCUCAUCUGUAAAAGCCAAGUGGGUGGAGCCUAAUGAAGGAAGGGACUCAUGAUUCCCCACGUCGUUGUUUUUCACAUGGUUUUGAUGUUCGGCUGAAACCAGAGGCUCUCGAUCAUCAUCUUCUGAAAUGGCGAACACGGGAAUGGUGACGUGAUCAUCAUCAUCAGCAGAGAACUUGCAGAUUUUAACCUCCGCUCCUUGCUCCGGGACACAGAGGGCGCCAUCGGGCUCGCAGAUCUGCUGAGACGUGUGUGAUCGUGACGUGUAGCGGCGCUGAUGCUGAGCCGAGGGAACCUUCACGCCAUCAUCGCCGUCCACCACAGAACCUGGAGAAACCUGAGGAACCAAAUGCAUCACUAAACAUCUGUAGAUGAUUAUAUUCACAGGGAAACGCGUCCGAAUGAAUCAGGAGGAACUUCAUCACGCAGCAAGACAACGAUCCAAAAUACACUUCCACCUCAACACAGGACUUCAUCAGGGGGAAAGUGGAAGGUUUUAAACUGGACACGUCCAUCACCAGACCUUCACCCAACUGAUCAGCACCUCACCUCCUGAAGAGGAGACUGAAGGGAGAAACCCCCCGAAACACACAACUACUGACAGAAGCUGCAGGAGAAACCUGGAGAAGCUUCACAGGAGAAGAAAGCAGCAGUGUGGUGUCAGUGAGUCGCAGGAGUGAUGCAGUUACUGCACGCAAGGGAUAUAACCCAAAUAUUAAUAUUAUAUUUAUAAAUAUUAUUUAUUUACUGCACGC
ensembl:lncRNA